ACAGUCAUAUCACAUUGAAACACCAGUUCUUAUAUGAUCACCAAAGUUAAGCCACAUUUAGCCUGGUAGAUGGGUGACCGCUUGGGAAUACCAGGUGCUGUAAG